rnacentral:rRNA from 1 species
UCCGUAGGCGGUGCGGCAAGUCGGAAGUGAAAUCUCUGGGCUUAACCCAGAGGCUGCUUCCGAAACUGCCGUGCUCGAGUGUGAGAGAGGCGAGUGGAAUUACGGGUGUAGCGGUGAAAUGCGUAGAUAUCCGUAGGAACAUCCGAGGCGAAAGCGGCUCGCUGGAUCACAACUGACGCUGAGGGACGAAAGCUAGGGGAGCAAACAGGAUUAGAUACCCCGGUAGUCCUAGCCCUAAACCAUCAGGACUUGGGGUUUGCCCUGUACGGGGCAAGUCCCGGAGCUAACGCGUUAAGUCCUGCGCCUGGGGAGUACGGUCGCAAGGCUGAA